CACCUGGCGGGGUAUAGCCAGCUUUGAAGGAUUUGCUUUGCCCAGCAGCUUCGGCAGGAGGGGCUUUUCAGUCUGUGAUUUGGGUGCUUGCCGAGUCAGAGAGGUGAAGGUCCACAUGAAGUCAACACUGAAGCCAAAGAGAGCUUGGACCCAGCUAAAGGACUCUGCCAUGGACCCCAUUUCCCAAUAACAGCACUGUGAGUGCAUCUCCUGGGGCCCAGGGCCUUUCAUUGCCCUCAGAGGAAUGAAGGUGCAGCUGUUGCCCAGGCAGAUGGUGGAUCCCCUGCACGUGGGAAGGCAGAAGCACUAGCUUUGACCAAGCAGAAAGUGAAGGAGGCAUGAAGGCAGACACCCUCUUUUUCAAAGCAGCAGCUGUGACCUCAGUCCUUGAAGUAGCCAGGGGAAACUGUGCCAUUUUGAAGGCAGGCAAAUCUCAAAGCAUUACUCAGAGAGAGGCCACUGUAUAGCCCAGUCUUUAUGAAUGACAAACCUUCACACUGUAAGAACAUCCCAGAUUAUUUGGUUGGUGUUAUAGAGAAGAGGACUUCAGAGGGCAGCUCACCAAUGACUUUCCUGUAUUGAGGAGCCCAAAAUGAUAUGUUUUCAUAAGCCAGUCACUUUACUAAGUCACUGCCACCCACAGCCCUGCUGGCUGCAGGCGGAGUGGAAAAGGAGGGAGAGGACUGCCAUUGCAGGCCCUGCUGCCACCGAGGUUUAUCUCAGGGGACUUGCCCAUGCCCUGCAUGCAUCCCACCGGGCACAGCUCUUCCUCACCCCCCACAGCUGCCAACAGCUCUUCACCUGCCUCUCUAAGCUCAGGUCUGCUCCCUUUUGCCCUAGUGCUUACCUGCACCUCAGUGUGACAGAGCUGCUCUUUGAUGGAGGCAUUGAAAGGUUUCGGUGGCAAGGGACCUCAAGAAAUCCCUAGCCCAACCCUCUCCUCCAAGCAGAGCUAAUUUCACCGUUAGGUCACUUGCACAGGGGCCUUGUCAAGUCAGAUUUUGAGUAUCUCCAAGGAGGGAGGUUUCACAAGCUCCCUGCAGACUAAGCAGUCCUCCUACCAGUGAGAUCUACCUCAACAGUGAGUUUUUUGUCACUUAUUGGGAAAUUUUCAUGCUGAGGAAUCACCAGCACUGCCAGUGAUACCUCUAACGAUUGAGGCUGUAGUCUGCAUAAUUACAGCAAUUAGAUACUACAGUCCAUAGCAGCCUAAUUAAAACUCCAUGUCUGCAAAUUUGGCCUGAGAAUAAGUGUUCAAUUAUUUUCCAGGAGAAAGAAAACCUGAAAUGGUCAUUACUCAAUUGCUAAGGGUAUUCAGGACAAUGAUGUGAUUUUUAAAGGUUUCAGUCAAUCCAGGCUUUGUACAUUUUAGGUAGUUUAUUCAUUAAUAAAUAAAAAUUAUUGAAAUAUUAAUUUUUCAUUCAGUCAAUAGCUGAUGUGAGUAAGAGAGAAUAUGCUGUAUUGUUUCACACAAAAGAGGUGUUUGAUAGUUGCAUAAAUGGAACCAGAACCCAAUCUCAGUUACAACCUUGCAACCAGAGCCCCAGUAAAUGCACCCAGGGCAUAGGGUCUGUAAUCGCAGUGUUCCAAUGUUAAUAUCAUUUUCUAAUUCCCAGCUCACAUUUAAUCCUAGACAGUGUGUAUCUAACCAUGUUUGUGCCAAGAAUUGUUCUUUAAUAUAAAUAGCUCCUCUCUUUCCUCCCACCAGCCUCAUGUAUUUACAGAAAAGAGCCUUUUCAUUCUUUGUUUUGAGGGAUUAUACUAACCUAGCUCUCCCUGGUUCUAUGUAUAAUUGACUCUGAGUUCUCUCAUGUUUACAAAAACCCUUACAAAAAUUUUCCACCUUAAUGGGUUAUGUUACUUCUGCCAUGCACCUCAUUCUCCAAAGUAUACCUGCGUGUGAGCAAUAAAACAUUAAAUGAAAAGCAAACUUCACUUCCACUGAUAGUGAAUA